GCUUGCUAAUGAUGACUUUUCAUUCUACCUACAUUGUUUGAUAACUACAAUGAGAAAAAGCAUGAAUUCUGAUGCACAU